UCCUGACGAGUGUUUGUCCAGGAAGGAAUUUAUGACAAGUUUGUUAAGAAAGUAGUCGCAAAGGCGAAAGCAAAGGUGGUUGGUGACCCUUUUGAUCCAAAUGUUCAACAGGGACCCUAAGCUAGCAGAAAUCAGUAUGAGAAGAUACUUUCAUAUAUAGAGCAUAGGAAGAGGGAGGGUGCUACAUUGCUAACUGGUGGUAAGCCACUGGACAGAAAAGGCUAUUUCAUCCAGCCAACUAUAUUUACAGAUGUCUGGAUGACAUGCUAAUUGCAAAAGAUGAAAUUUUUGGACCUGUUAUGCUUAUACUGAAAUUCAAAGGUUCUUUUCUGAAGAGACAGCUAAAUCAAUCAAAGGCUUGGCUAAGGGAUAAUCAAAUUGUCAGCUUAUUCUAGCUUUACCCAAUUUGAAUGUCGAAAGGUUGCCAAUGGUUCUAAGUCGCCGGAGCCAGGAAAUG